rnacentral:rRNA from 1 species
GACGAACGCUGGCGGCGUGCCUAAUACAUGCAAGUCGAACGCUGAAGGAGGAGCUUGCUCUUCUGGAUGAGUUGCGAACGGGUGAGUAACGCGUAGGUAACCUGCCUGGUAGCGGGGGAUAACUCUUGGAAACGAUAGCUAAUACAGCAUAAGAGUAGAUGUUGCAUGACAUUUACUUAAAAGGUGCAAUUGCAUCACUACCAGAUGGACCUCCGUUGUAUUAGCUAGUGGGUGGGGUAAGGGCUCACCAAGGCGACGAUCAAUAGCCGACCUGAGAGGGGGAUCGCCCACACGGGACUUGGGACACGCUCAAGAUCCCUCGGGGGGGAACAAGAAGGGAACUUUGGGCAAUGGCCGAAGGCUUGACGGAGAAAGGCCGCGUGGUGGAUGAAGGUCUUGGGAUCGUAAGCCUCUGUGUUUAGGGAGGACGAGAUGUGUGAUUGAAAGUGCACGCUGUGACGGUACCUAAUCAGAAAGCGACGGCUAACUACGUG